rnacentral:tRNA from 1 species
GCCUGGGUGGCUCAAUUGGUUGAGCCUCCGACUUCAGCUCAGGUCAUGAUCUCAGUUUGUGGGUUCAAGCCCCAUAUCAGGCU